GCCAGAUCAUGUUAAAACACCAGUUCCCAUAUGAUCACCAAAGUUAAUUAAUGUCGAGCCUAGUCAGUACCUAGAUGGGUGACUGCUAGGAAAUACUAAGUGCU